AGCUUCAUGGUGCAAUGGUAGCACGCCGGGUCCAUAGUCCGAAGGUCCUUCGUUCGAAUCGAAGUGAAGCUA